AACGAACGCUGGCGGCAUGCCUAACACAUGCAAGUCGAACGAGACCUUCGGGUCUAGUGGCGCACGGGUGCGUAACGCGUGGGAAUCUGCCCUUGGGUUCGGAAUAACAGUUAGAAAUGACUGCUAAUACCGGAUGAUGUCUUCGGACCAAAGAUUUAUCGCCCAGGGAUGAGCCCGCGUAGGAUUAGCUAGUUGGUGGGGUAAAGGCCUACCAAGGCGACGAUCCUUAGCUGGUCUGAGAGGAUGAUCAGCCACACUGGGACUGAGACACGGCCCAGACUCCUACGGGAGGCAGCAGUGGGGAAUAUUGGACAAUGGGCGAAAGCCUGAUCCAGCAAUGCCGCGUGAGUGAUGAAGGCCUUAGGGUUGUAAAGCUCUUUACCCGGGAUGAUAAUGACAGUACCGGGAGAAGUAAGCCCCGGCUAACUCCGUGCCAGCAGCCGCGGUAA
rnacentral:rRNA from 1 species